AAGUCGUAACAAGGUUUCCGUAGGUGAACCUGCGGAAGGAUCAUUACCAAUACUUUUGGGUGUCAUCUUAGUGAUGUAUACUCCAAAUAAGUGCUUGCCCGUUUAGGGCAUUGCAUAAACGCUUUAUUGUCAUUAUUAUCAAUGAUGUUUAUAAUCUAAAAAUCACUUUUAACAAUGGAUCUCUAGGCUCUU
rnacentral:misc_RNA from 1 species